rnacentral:rRNA from 1 species
UACAGAGGGGGCAAGCGUUGUUCGGAAUUACUGGGCGUAAAGGGCGCGUAGGCGGCCUGCUAAGUCGGACGUGAAAUCCCUCGGCUCAACCGAGGAACUGCGUCCGAUACUGGUGGGCUUGAAUCCGGGAGAGGGAUGUGGAAUUCCAGGUGUAGCGGUGAAAUGCGUAGAUAUCUGGAGGAACACCGGUGGCGAAGGCGGCAUCCUGGACCGGCAUUGACGCUGAGGCGCGAAAGCCAGGGGAGCAAACAGGAU